GGGGCUGUGACUCAGUGGUAAAGUGCAUGCCUAGCACACAUGAGGCACUGGGUUCAAACAUCAGCACCACA
rnacentral:tRNA from 1 species